GGCGACCGGCGCACGGGUGAGUAACACGUAUCCAACCUGCCCUUUACUCGGGGAUAGCCUUUCGAAAGAAAGAUUAAUACCCGAUGGCAUAAUGAUUCCGCAUGGUUUCAUUAUUAAAGGAUUCCGGUAAAGGAUGGGGAUGCGUUCCAUUAGGUUGUUGGUGAGGUAACGGCCCACCAAGCCUUCGAUGGAUAGGGGUUCUGAGAGGAAGGUCCCCCACAUUGGAACUGAGACACGGUCCAAACUCCUACGGGAGGCAGCAUG
rnacentral:rRNA from 1 species